ensembl:lncRNA
CCGGCCAACAUGGUGGAGGUGGCACCGACCUGUAUGGCUGAGGGGUGGUGGAAAGAGGCUCCGCUGCGGUGUUCUAUAUGCACAUAACUAGGUAUCCAGGAAUCAUUUUUCUGCUCUCAGCAAUGCUUCGAGAGCAGUUGGCGUAAACACAGAUGGCUACAUAAGAAAGCAUCUGCAGAGCUCCAGCCCGAAGUCAAUGUGGUUACCUCAGAACCAGAGCUUGAACCUGAGACCCAUGAGGUGGUCUCACCUGCCGAGCAUCAGCCAGAGGUCAACACGGUGACCUCAGAGCUCCAGCUCGAGACCCACGAUGUGGUCUCGCAUGCUGAGCUCCAGCCAGAGGUCAAUGUGGCAACCUCCGAGUUCCAGUCAGAGGUCAACGUGGUGACCUCAGAGCUCCAGCUUGAGACCCACGAGGAGGUCUCAGCACUUGAACUACAGUCAGAGGUCAAUGUGGUGACCUCAGAGCUACAGCUUGAGACCCACAAGGAGGUCUCACCUGCCAAGCUCCAACCAGAGGUCAAUGUGGUAACCUCAGAGCUCCAGCUUGAGACCCACGAGGAGGUCUCAGCACCUGAGCUCCAGCCAGAGAUCCAUGAGGAGGUCUUACAAGCUGAGCACCAGCCAGAGGUCAACAUGGUGACCUCAGGGCUCCAGCCAGGGGUCAACAUAAUGAUCUCAGAGCUUCAGCCAGAGGUCACCAUGGUGACCUCAGCCCCAGAGUUUCAGCCUGAGAACCAUGAGGGGGUCUCAGCCCUAAAAUUCCAAUGUAAUGCCAAGUUCCUUUCCCAGGUCAAAGAGACGGCCAAGCUCUGCUCAUGCCAAGUUCCUGUCCCAGGUCGAAGAGAUGGCCUCCCAAGACACAUUACAUUACACCCAAAUCUGCUGACACAGACAACCAGGUUCUGCUCACGCCCGAGUCUGCUGACACGGGUAGCCAAGUUCUGCUCACAACUAAGUCUGUAGAUACGACCAACGAAGUCCUGCUCACGCCGACAUCUGCUGACACAGCCAACCAAAUUCAGCCUGCAGAGUCCACUGAGGACGUCGUGCUUUCCUGCUCCGCUGAGGACGUCGCUUUGCUUUCCUGCUCCGCUGAGGACAUCGCUCUGCUUUCCUGCUCCGCUCAUGGCGUCGCUCUGUUUUUCUGUUCUGCUGAGUACAUUGUUUUGCUUUUUGGUUCUGCUGAGGACGUCGCUUUGCUUUUCUGUUCCACUGAGGAUGCUGUGCAGUCUCCUGGUUCAGCUGGGGACAUUUUGCCCAGGGGGCCAGGACUGCCAUUGGAGAGGACUAUUUUGAGGUGCUCCGGGAGGUGUGCCCUUGUGGGGGUUUAUGUCACGAUCUCCCCUUCUGGCAGCGCGCUCGGAGAGAUGAGAGGGCGCACGCAUGCACGAUCUACAUGCACGAGUGCUCAGCAAGUGCAUGCUCUUCGGAUGUUGACAACUGUGACAUUGUUUACUGUGGACAUGUGCAUUUGUUUUGUUUCUGUUCUGUCUCCUCCCUGUUCUGUCAUUGGCUUAUAUACCGUGCGCCUCCCAGUACAUGGGCGGAGUAUUAGAUAUAGUUAGUAUAGUUAGAUAUGCUGUUUAAUUACCUUGAUAGAUUGAGCUAGUUUACACUUUAGAUUAGUUCAUUAGUCCACACUGGUUUUUCGGCUCCCAGUUUAUAGUACUAGUUAAUGUCCUUACCUGCACCUGCUUCCGUACUCUACACGUCUCAUGACGUGACAGGAUGCAGCAGGAAAGCAGAGGGGAUUUCACUCCAGGGAGAAUUUCCCCAGUGGACUCACCUGGAUGUUCUGGCUCCCUUAGAGGGCUUUGAAAGAUUUAUGAAUAGAUUUUUUUCUAAAGUGCCACAUUUAUUUUGAGAGCCUGUUAAACCCCAAGCCCAAAGAAAAGCAGUAGCUGGGGUUCAUGUUGUCCUGUUUCAUGGGCACAGCCCACCAGUGGGCGGGCUCCUAAUUGCACGGGCAACUUCAGCCUGGGUAGCAUGGUUGAGUUCUUGUGCCUCAUGAGGUUAAUUUUUGAUAACGCAGACUUUCAGUUUGAUUUGGAGGAAGUUAUGGGGAGGGCCAGGUGGUCUCUCCUGUAGCACUACAGCCAGAGGUCAAUAUGGUGACCUCAUCUCCAGAUCUCCAGCCUGAGACCCAUGAGUUAGUUUCUCCUGCCAAGCUCCAACCAGAGGUCAAUGUGGCAACCUCAACUCUAGACCCUGUUGGCCUGAGGCUGACAAGACAGCCUCCCAAGCCAGGCAUAAGAUCUUUCCCAACCCAUCCUCCCCUACUGCGGAUCUCAGUCAGCAUCCCUGUUCAAUUGAGGAUGCCGCUCAGCCUCCCUGUUCAGCUGAAGGUGUUGCUCCACCUCCCGGGUUCAACUAAGACUCCGCUUCACCUCUCUGUUCUGCCUCGGAUUUGACUAAACCAGGCUGAUCUUCAGAUAUCGCUCUGCCUUCUUGCUCAGCUGAGGACAUAGCUCCGCCAACCUGCUCGGCUGAGGACGUUGCUCUGCCAUCCUGCUACUUUGAGGUUGUCAUUCUGCCUCCAUGCUCCUCUGAAGACAUCACUCUUUUUCUCUGCUUUGCACCAUGUGUCGGUCCCCCUUCUUGCUCCAUGGAGGACAUUGCUCCCCCUCUGGCCGCAUGGAGAACUUUGCUCCCCCUCUGACCUCAGAUUUUAAUGUAAACAAUUAUAUUACAUAUCAUUUUACGUCAGAGAAUGUGAAACAUGUCAGAGUAUUUAAUGCAUAACGUGAAAAUGUCAUACUGGAGCACGUCAUGCAAUUGAUUGUCAGAGCACAUUUGAUGAAAAC